AUGGGGGGAGGCCGCCACCACAGGUUGCGCUCUGCCACACCGGAGUACGACUUGGAAGGUUUCGAGUUCUUCACGAUCAUACUCGAUAAUUCCUCCAGGAGGCAGAGGCUGCCUGACACUUUUAUGAAGAUGCUAGAUGGCCAUCAGCCAAAGAAUGUGAAGCUUCGACAGGCCGGCAGCGGGCUUCACAGGCUGUGGGGCGUGGAGGUGUUGUUCAGGUAUGACGGCAACACCACGCUCACCGUGAAGGUGUUCAACACGACUAUGUGUCGCAUGCGCUACCACGAUGACGACGAUGCCAGCAAUGGGAGCAGCAAUAGCGACUCUGGCUAUAGCAAGAGUAGUAGUGACUCUGGCUGCAACAAAAGCAGCAUCGAGGAUGAGGAGGAAUGGAGUGGGGAAGAAGAGGAGUAG
rnacentral:rRNA from 1 species